UACGGAGGGUGCAAGCGUUAUCCGGAUUCACUGGGUUUAAAGGGUGCGUAGGUGGGUUGGUAAGUCAGUGGUGAAAUCCCCGAGCUUAACUUGGGAACUGCCAUUGAUACUAUCAGUCUUGAAUACUGUGGAGGUUAGCGGAAUAUGUCAUGUAGCGGUGAAAUGCUUAGAUAUGACAUAGAACACCAAUUGCGAAGGCAGCUGGCUACACAAUUAUUGACACUGAUGCACGAAAGCGUGGGGAUCAAACAGG
rnacentral:rRNA from 1 species